AAUUAUGUUAUUUAUUGGUCUUUUGAUAAAAUGUUAAAUGUUGUUUUCUAUAAAGGGGUUAGAAUGUUAAAUGUACAAUACGUACAAUUCCAUUCAUUCUGAAAUUUCCAUUUUAGUUGCAUCAUUAAAAUGACUAGAGCCAACGUUCUUGCUCUUUGUAUGGUGGUUCUUGUUCUAGGAAUGAUAAUGGAGGAAACAGAAGGACAAGAAUGGUGUCAUGAUUAUAUGACAGGAAAGCAAAAGUGUGAAGCUAAACAUUGUGCUGCUCAGUGUAAACGGAAGUGGAAAGGCGUAGGCAGAUGUAUGCCAUCAAGCACACAAUGUCUAUGCACUUUUAAAUGCAACUAUUGAUUUUUUUCUUUGUUAUCUAUAAACUAUCAUCGAUAUAUUUUAAUAAAAGAAUGGGUUAAAAAGAAA